rnacentral:rRNA from 1 species
AUCGAACGCUGGCGGCAGGCCUAACACAUGCAAGUCGAGCGGAGCGGCGGACGGGUGAGUAAUGCCUAGGAAUCUGCCUGGUAGUGGGGGAUCACGUCCGGAAACGGGAGCUAAUACCGCAUACUAUCAGAUGAGCCUAGGGCGGAUUAGCUAGUGGGUGGGGUAAAGGCUUACCAAGGCGACGAUCCGUAACUGGUCCGAGAGGAUGAUCAGUCACACUGGAACUGAGACACGGUCCAGACUCCUACGGGAGGCAGCAGUGGGGAAUAUUGGACAAGGGUCGAAAGCCUGAUCGAGCCAUGCCGCGUGAGGGAAGAAGGUCUUCGGAUUGUAAAGCACUUUAAGUUGGGAAGCGGUACCAACAGAAUAAGCACCGGCUAACUUCGUGCCAGCAGCCGCGGUAAUAC